CUUAUUUUGGUAAAAUAAUUAACAUUUUGCAGAUUCUGAAAGGGGGAUGUAAACUUUUGACCUCAACUGUAUUGU